rnacentral:rRNA from 1 species
UACGGAGGGUGCAAGCGUUAAUCGGAAUUACUGGGCGUAAAGCGUGCGUAGGCGGUUCGUUAAGUCUGUUGUGAAAGCCCCGGGCUCAACCUGGGAAUGGCAAUGGAUACUGGCGAGCUAGAGUGUGUCAGAGGAUGGUGGAAUUCCCGGUGUAGCGGUGAAAUGCGUGGAGAUCGGGAGGAACAUCAGUGGCGAAGGCGGCCAUCUGGGACAACACUGACGCUGAGGCACGAAAGCGUGGGGAGCAAACAGG